rnacentral:lncRNA from 1 species
UGGCCAUCCUAAUUGCAGUACAGAAUGUAAGGUUUGUGGUGCAAAACAGCAACAAAGUAACACAUUAGUUUAGACAUGGAGCUGACACAACUCUUCACAAUGAAGAGUACAUGCAUAACAUCUGCUGGGAAUUUUCAUCCCAUUGUGUUCAGUAGAACUAACCCAAAUAGGUGUGCACAGAUCUGACUGCAGCCUUAGUUUUCCUUAGCAUUUCCCCCCUUACGGCUGAGAUGAUUUGAGUGCGAUCAUGCCUCAUUUUAAAACCUUAAUAAACAGCACUUGUUUAAUUCUAAGCACUAUUUCCAACCUUGGCCAGUUCUUUGUCUCCUGCGCUAAGAACUUCCUAGGCUGAUGGGGCUAAGCAGUUAUGAUACAGAUCUUUGGCAAGAGGUGUGGGGUGGGGACAGAACUAGCAACACUAUAAUUCAGUUUCACUGUGGUGUGUCGGUUCUCUGUUUGUCCAAGGCUUGGUGUAAAGCAGCAUGUGGUUUUCUCCCUUGCUUGGUGAUAGGGCUGGAGGUAGGGAGGCAACUCUCUUGAACUGUCUUCUAUUCUCUGUUGCUAUAAGAAUGGACUUGCUCAGAAGAAAGAAGUAGUAGUAACUGGAAACUGAGCCAUGGAUGCCUCAGAGGAAGUGAAGGCAGCAGGAGGAGGGCUGUCCAGAAGGUCCCGGUUCCUCAAAGCAGCCACAACUGUUGCACAUCUCUGUGGACUACUGCUGAGUGGGAAAAGAAGAGGAAAAGGUUUGAAAAGCUCAAGCAUCUGUUACAUAACUGUCCAAAGCAAAGAAAACAGCAAGACCUCUUGCAGAUACAAGAAUACUUGAAGGUAAACAGAGCCUUUCAGUGUCUGCCCAUCAAAACACAACUCCAGCUGUGUCAAGUUGCCAUCUACCAAAAGUAAGUAAGGUACCAGAGCAUUACUUGCAUUUUGAGAAUGGGAUCCAUUCCAUGAACUUCCUUCAGAAAGCUGGGUCAGAAGGUGAAGAUUUUUCAACAAGGCUGAGAUUCUUGUGAUUAAAUAUUUAUCAUAAUUCUGAAGUGCCCUGCUCUGUUAAAAUAAAAUAUUGACAAAUGGAAAGUACGUAGUUCUU